ensembl:lncRNA
CGCGGCGCGGCCGGGGAUGCCCCAGCCCGGCCACGUGCGCGCGGCGCCGCCACAGCGGGGCAGCGCCCGGGGCUCUCCCCGGUUUCCCCCCGUUUCUCCCCUCCCCGCCCCCCCACCGUGCCUCCGCGGCCGUCCCCGCGCCGUGCUGGGGCCGUGGGUGGGCCGAGCGCCCACCGGGAGGGAAGCGGCGGGGUGCUCUCGAGGGACCGCCUGCAGACACCCGUCCCGGUGGGGUCUGCUGGGGGGGGCUGCUCGGCCCGUAGGGAGCUUCGUGCCCACCCCCUUCACCCCCGCUGGGCUCACACUGACCGGGAACGGCGCGGGGUCGCCCGCGGGGCUGCAGGCGGUCGGGAGUCGCGCUGCCGGAAAUGGGUGUUUUGCUCGGAAAGCGAAGGGCGCUGCCAUUUUUUCCCGUUUCUGCCAAUCUGCGUCCCGCUCCCGUCCCCUGGGGCGGCGCUGGCGACCGCGGGGCUCGGCCUCGUGCCCCUGCGGAGCUGCGUUGCUGUGCAACGGCCUUCCUGCAGCGCUGCCCACCCUCCAUCCGCAGAGCUCGGGGCGGCCCCGAUACCGGCAGUGCAGUGGAGGGAGCCCCGCACACCCCCCAGCCCCGGAGAGAACAAAGGAGGGCAGCUGCAGCACCGGGUGUAGUGCCGGCCCACACCGCACCCCAGGCUGCACGGAGCUGGGCACAGCCCUGGCUGUGAUCCCAUCCCCACAGCACAGCCCUGGGUGUGAUCCCAUCCCCACAGUAACGUGGUGGCCGCGCUCACCCCCGCUGAUGCUACACUAUAAAGAAAAAGUCUUCCACGGACGACUUUUGUCACCAAAGUCAUUAACAUAAUAGGACUUGCACAUCAAAAUUGAAUAUUAAUGCUACACCCGGCCGCGGAGUGAGACGGAUAAUUGCUCUAAUACAUUUUCCAGUAGGAUUUUCGCAUCGUAGCAGCGAUUGCAUUUGCAAACCCGAUUAUUACCGCGUCCGAUACAAUGGGACAGCGAAUAGGAGUUCAGCCGGCUGCCUUUCUUUCCUGGGAGCACAGCACAGAGCUGCCCUUCUCCCAUUAGCAGAACACAGAGCUGGGCCAGGCCCUGGAAGGGACACCGGAGGGGACAGGAACUUGAGGACACGGCAGCUCUGUCCUCAUCUCGGUGCCCCAAACCCACUGCUGUGCUACCGCUGUGUCCCCCAGCCCCACCACCAGCAGUGCCACUGACCACGAGGGCUGUCGCUCACCGCUUGUGCUGAGCCAGAGGAGUCCGCAGAGCCACGGGGAGCCCGCACAGGGGCUCAGCACCACGUCCCUUUGGAGGUGAUGUCCCCAGGCUGGUGACACAGCGGCAGCCGUGUGCAUGGAGCACGGCACUGCAGGGCACCCGGGGUGCAGCCGGAGCCAGGCAGAGCGAGGUGGGCAGCGCCGUGGUUAUUUCACGGCUCACAGAUGUUAUGCACACACACGCUCCCAGUGCAGCGACGCCAGUCCCGUGCGCAGCCCUUGGGGGGAAUGCAAGAGUGUGGGGAGAAAUGGCAAAAGCCACAAAGCAGGCUGCUUCUGCUGCGAACGGGCUCGAGCAGAGCGGGACACAGCGGGGAUGCUGCGCCGGAAUUAAGCUCUGGGAAGGGGGCAGGUGCCAGUAGAGCUGGGUGCCAACGCGGCCGCCUCGCCGCACCCCAACACCGACCCCAUUUUUGGGACUGCCGCCGCGCACAGCCCCGCACGGCAGCACGCAGCCCGUGGGUGCCCGCGGUGCGGUGCAGCAGAGCCCCGCAUGGCUCCAGGGCCGAGCAGAGCCGGGCGGAGCCGCGGACAAAGGAGACCGUGCGCUCCGCUCCGGGCCGGGCG